UACGUAGGGUGCGAGCGUUAAUCGGAAUUACUGGGCGUAAAGCGUGCGCAGGCGGUCUUGCAAGACAGAGGUGAAAUCCCCGGGCUCAACCUGGGAACUGCCCUUGUGACUGCAAGGCUAAAGUACGGCAGAGGGGGAUGGAAUUCCGCGUGUAGCAGUGAAAUGCGUAGAUAUGCGGAGGAACACCGAUGGCGAAGGCAAUCCCCUGGGCCUGUACUGACGCUCAUGCACGAAAGCGUGGGGAGCAAACAGG
rnacentral:rRNA from 1 species